GAGGAUUUUUUGGGGUAAAUCUGGGGAUUUUGGGGUUAAUUUGGGGAUUUUUGGGUAAAUUUGUGGAUUUUUUGGGGUAAAUUUGGGGAUUUUGGGGUAAAUUUGUGGAAUUUUUGGGGUAAAUUUGGGGAUUUUUGGGUAAAUUUUGGGGACUUUUCCUUGACCCCGCCCCGCUCCCUGCGCUUGCCCCUCCCCUCGCCAGGCCACGCCCUCCUGGCGCUGCGCGCGCUCGAGCCCGACCUGGCCCCGCCCCUUCCCCAGCCGGGCCGGCCCCGCCCCUCCCCCACGGCGCGUGCGCGGCACAGCGGAGACACCCUGGUGGUCCAAUGGGAGGCGCCGCUGGCCCGCGCGCUGCGGGGCGGGGCCUCGUCCUUCCUGGAGCUGCUGGGGCUGGUGCUGGAAACCAUCGAGAGCUUCGGGGCGGGGCAGGGGCGUGGCUGCCCCGACCCCGCCCACACCGCCCCGCCCCCCGCCUCGGCCCCUCCCCCCGCCCAGUAAAGCCCCGCCCCCCGCUCAGGGCUCCGA